CAUAACACAUUCACACACACAUACACAUAUACAAACAUAUUCACACACAUAUACACACACAUACACAUAAACAUACACAUACAUACACAUUCACACACACAUUCACACAUACACAUGCAUACACAGACAUACACAUAUACGAACAUUCACACACAUACACACAGACAUACAUGUACACACACAAAUAAAACAGACACACAGAAACACACACACAUAAUCACAGAUACACAUGCAUACACAGACAUACACAUUCACACAUACACACACACAUAUACACCGACACAUACACAUUUACACACAUACAGACAUAUACACUUAUAGACACACAUAGCAUACACAUACACACAGUCACACACACAGAUACACAUAAACAUACAUACACACAGAGAGACAUACACAUACACAAAUACACACAGUAUCAUAUGCAGAGGCAGAAGCCAUUUGAACUAAGCAUUAAAAUAAAUUAAUGUGUUCAUUUGGUCAUUUAUUUAACAAGCGUGUCCUGGGAACCUGCAAUGUACAAACCCUGUAUCAGGUGUCAGGAGUGACACUCGAGGAGAGACAGACCCUGCCCUGCUGGUUGGUCCUAUAGGAAGGCCCCAGCCUCGGUGGCCUAGUUCUGCCAGCCCAACCCUGCCUGUCCCUGUGACCUUUAGUUCUCUGGACCUCGGUUUCCUCAUUUGAUAAACAUUUGUCAAGCCCAGGUGGGCUGGAGUGAGGACGCAGAGGACUAAUGAUCUCCUCAGGAAAAGAACAGUUUAGUAAAAUGAAGGGGAUGGACCAGAAGCUCUCUGGGGGCCCCACCGACUUUCCCAAUCGAAAGCAACUGUAAUGAACUGUGUCUGGAGUGCUGUGUGCCAGGCACUGUGGAUCCAGAAACGGAUUAAGACCUUCUGCCACAAACAACCAGAAAACUGGGCAAGAUAUAAGCAGCAGACACUUGACAACAGGCAGCACACAGGACAGUGACCCCAUGACUGCCUCAGCUUCUGCCUGGAGACAGUUCCCUGACUGUGCCUUGGGGAGGGGAAACCCAAGCGGACCACAGUGGCUUUGCUAAGGUGAGGAGGAGACAGAAUCAGAGGUCAAGACAGUGUGAGAUUCAUAAGGAUAUACACACAGAUCAAUGGAAUCCAAAAACAGAUGCAGAAAGGCAAUCCAAUGGAGAAAGAAAGGUCCUUUCAACAGGAUACAAAAAGCACUAACCAGAAAAGAAAAAUCAAUACACUGGACUUUAUCAAAAUUAAACCUCUGCUCUUGGAAAGACUAGGAGUAAAUAUUUGCCAAACAAAAAUCUGAGAAAGGACUUGUAUCCGGAAUACAUAAAGAACUUUUACAAUUCGAUAAUAAGAUGGCCCAAUAAAAAAGUGGGGAAAGAUUUUAAUAGACACUACAACAAAAAAUAAACAUACAGCUAAAAUACAUAGAAAGUUGUUCGACAUGCGGCUGGGCGCGGUGGCUCACGCCUGUAAUACCAGCACUUUGGGAAAGAAGAAAGAUACUCCACAUGCAAAUCAAAAGCCCAAUGACAUACCACUACAUGCCUACCAGAGUGGUUACAGCUGAAGGCCGACCAUAGUAAGUACUGUCCAAGAUGUCACCCUGUCAUACACGGCUGGGGACUGGUGAAGUGUUACAACCACUUGGGAAACCAGCAUGGUGGUUCCUUAUAAAGUUAUCCCAGAGGAAUGAAAACUUACAUCCACAAAAAAGACUGCAAAGAUGUUCAUGGCAGCUUUAUUACUAACAGCUCCAAACUGGAAACAACCCAAAUAUUCCUCGACGUGGGAACAGAUAAACACACUGAGAUAUAUAAAGAUAGAAUAAUACUCAGCAAUGAAAAGGAAAUGAACUGCUGAUGCCGACGACAUGGGUAAAUUGAGAGAAGCCAGACACAAAAGAGCCCCUACUGUGUGAUGAUGACAUGUACACGGAAUUCUAGAACAGGCAGAACCGACUGAUAGUGACAGAAGGCAUCAGUGGUUGACUGGGGCCGGGGUUAGAUAUUGUGGGGGUUGACUGCAAGGGUAAGAAGGUUUUUGUUUUUUUGUUUGUUUUUUUUUCUUUUUUUUGAGAUGGAGUCUCACUUUGUCACCCAGGCUGGAGUGCAGUGGCAUGAUCUUGGCUCACUGCAACCUCCACCUCCUGAGUUCAAGCAAUUCUCCUGCCUCAGCCUCCUGAGUAGUAGGGACUACCAGCUUACACUACCACGCCCAGCUGAUGUUUGUAUUUUUAGUAGAGACGGGGUUUCAUCAUAUUGGCCAGGCUGGUCUUGAACUCCUGACCUCAAGUGAUCCACCCGCCUCGGCCUCCCAAAGUGGUGGGAUUACAGGCAUGAGCCACCGCACCCGCCUAAGAAGGUGCUUUUGAGGUGACAACAGUGUUCUAAAUCUUAACUGGGAUUGUGGUUACAUGGGUCUAUACACUUAUUGGACUACUGAACCAUACAUUGUAAAUGGUUAUACUGUAUUGUAUGUAAGUUACACGAGAAUAAAGAUGAUUUAGAGAGUUAGAAACAAAACAAGAAUGAAGAAUGAUGCUUGUUUUGCUCACCAUCUAGCAGAAAAGCCAGACAUACAAAUAAUCAUCAAACAGUGGGAUGAGUGUUCAAAGUAUGUUGAAAUAACACGAACUCCCAUUUAUCAAGUGCUUACCUUGCGCCAGGCGCUGUGCUAAGUGCCCCGAAGCACUGAUUUAACGAAGUCCCGUGAUGUUUGGAUGAUCCUCCUCCUCCUCCUCAUUUUACAGAUGAGAAAAUAAGACUCAGAGAGAAGUGAGGUGACCUUUGCCAAGGUUACUCAGCUAGAAUCAGCAGAGCUGGGACUUUCCUCCAAGUCCUCCUGGGUUGCAGACAAUGUGCUAAUCCACCUGCCACCAGGAAGGUGCCACGAUGAAACAGCUCGGGAAUUGUUGCAGCGUCUCAGUCAAAACUUCGCAGGAAGUAUUUAAGUACAAGCUGGAAUUUGCAGAGCAGAGAAGAGAAUGCAGUGAAGGGACUUUCAAGGCAACAGGAACAAACACCACCACAAGCAAAGGUUAUGCAACAGCUGUGAGAAGGCAAGGGUUUCUGGGCAUGGAGAGACAUGCCCAGGAAAUAACAGAAGAGAUCCAUGGAGCAUUAUAUCGUCUUCAAAUUCAUUUAUUUUUAUUUUUAAAAAAUCAAUUUUUGAGUAAUACUCUAGAGGCAGUGGCUCUGCCAAGCAGGGAAGUCAAAUGCAUCGCUUUUUUUCCUGUACACUGUUGGCAAGCACAGAUAAUCCACAACUCCAACGCCAUCUAUUCUCAAUGCGUAGGGUCUGUGUUAUAUUUCUCCUCUUCCAGAAAGUUAAAGCUCGGUGAAACUUAAAGCAGUGAUCCCAGGUUUUUAAAUUUUUAUAUUUUUACUUUUCUUCCAUCUGCCUGGUCAUCUGCAUGAUCCCAGCUUUCUGAACAGGAUUUGUGACACUGUUUCACGGUCCUAAGAACUCUCAGGAAAAAAUCCUCUAUAUUUUCAUGACAGGUUUUCUAGGUGGGUGAAUUAAAGUCUCUGGAGUUAAGCAAAAACGGUCCACUGUCAUAGCGUAAUUUUUUUAGGAAACAUGGCAUGGUGGCUGAGACCAUGGGUUUUUAGGCUGGAUUGUUUGAGUUCAGAUCGCAGUGCCUUCACUUAUGAGUUCCUUUAACCUUUCUGCACCUUGACUUCCUCAGCUGUGAAAUGGGAAGGUGGGGGGGUGGGGGAUAAUGACAGGGCUGUCAUGAGAAUCAGAUGAGACAGUGAAUAAAAGGUGCUUCCAGAGUACCUGCCACAGAGUAAACACUUCAUAUACACAUAGCUGUUAUGAUUUCCGGAAGGAGGCUUGCACACAUGAGCUCAUUUUCUGUAUUCUGCCAUGAUCCAUUCUUCUGGGAAGAAUUAUUUUUAAAAGAUAUCAUUUAGGAUGAUUUGACUGAAACAGAACACCCAACUUAAAAUGACUUAAUAAGAUUUCUUUUUAAAAUCUCACUUUUUAUUUAUUUAUUUUUUUUGAGAUGGAGUCUCGCUCUGUCGCCCAGGCUGGAGUGCAGUGGUACGAUCUCCACUCACUGCAAGCUCUGCCUCCCGGGUUCAAGCCAUUCUCCUGCCUCAGCCUCCUGAGUAGCUGGGACUACAGGCACCCGCCACCACGCCUGGCUAAUUUUUUUUUUUGUAUUUUUAGUAGAGAUGGGGUUUCACUGUGUUAGCCAGGAUGGUCUCAAUCUCCUGACCUCGUGAUCCACCCUCCUCGGCCUCCCAAAGUGCUGGGAUUACAGGCGUGAGCCACUGCACCCAGCCUAAAAUCUCACAUUUUGUAAUUCACUCAAACUGAGAUGCCAUUGCUUGUAAGACACAUCCUGCAUUUUAGAAUAUGAAAAUGCGACCAGCUGUGAUGGCUCAUGCUUGUGAUUCCAGCACUUUGGGAGGCUGAAGUGGGUGGGUUACCUGAGGUCAGGAGUUCGAGACCAGCCUGGCCAGAAUGGUGAAACUCUGUCUCUACCAAAAAUACAAAAAUUAGCUGGGUGUGAUGGUGCACACCUGUAAUCCCAGCUACUUGGGAGGCUGAGGCAGGAGAAUCACAUGAAUCCAGGAGGUAGAGGUUGCAGUGAGCUGAGAUCAUGCCACUGCAUUCCAGCCUGGGCGACAAGAGCAAAGCUCUGUCUCAAAAAAAAAAAAAAAAAAUAUAUAUAUAUAUAUAAAAAUAUAUAUAUAUAAAACAUGUAUAUGUGUAUAUAUAUGUAUACAUGUAUACAUAUAUAUGUGUGUGUAUAUAUAUAUGAAAUGUAUAAAUGUGUCUCUGAAUCAAAACGAGGUCUGAAGUUCAGGGGUGUUGGGACUGGCGGUUUCUGCGGGUCAGCAGCAUCACUGAGGACUCAUGUUCUUUCUUCUCUCUACUCUGCCAUCGCAGUCCUUCAGCUCCUACUUAAUGGAAGCCUCGCAGAUGCAAGAUGGCUCCAGCAGGCCCAGCAUCACUUCUUCUCAGUGUCCCAAAGCCAGAAGAGAGGCUGUUGUUUUUAAAAGCAGGAAAACUUUCCUAAACUUGGCCAGAAUUGCAUCACAGACCCUUUCCUAAAACAAUUUCCAGCAAAGGGAAUAGACUUACCAUGUCUGGUACAGAUGAAUCAAGGUUUGCCCCUGGGGGCUGGGGAGGGGCUUGUCCCGCUGAAGCAGACUCUUGCCCAGCAGCUGAACGAAGCCUAGGUUCACCAGACGGAGGAAGAGACUGGCCACUAACAGUGCCUGACACACAGAUGUGCUUCCUGUGAUAUCGCUGCUGCCACCGUUCCAAAUGUAAGCAGUUGGCUGUCUGGGAUACUACCUACCUUCUUUUGUGUUCUUAUUAAUAAAAUUAAAGAUUGCUUUCUGGGUAGAGAAAU
rnacentral:lncRNA from 1 species